AAUAAGUAUAAUUUUAUAUUGUUGACCGUUCAUCUUAUUUAAAAUUCUUUUAUGGUUUGUAUUUUUAUUAUUACUAGAUGAUAAAACAUAAAUAAUACUUUAUGUAUGACUAUUUUUAUUUUUUUCAAAUAAGACGAAUGGAUAAAUGUUAGACACGGAUACUCGUGGCUGUACUUACU
rnacentral:pre_miRNA from 1 species